rnacentral:rRNA from 1 species
AUUGAACGCUGGCGGCAGGCCUAACACAUGCAAGUCGAACGAGUGGCGGAAGGGUGAGUAAUGUCUGGGAAACUGCCUGAUGGAGGGGGAUAACUACUGGAAACGGUAGCUAAUACCGCAUACCAUCAGAUGUGCCCAGAUGGGGUUGGCGAGUUGGUGGGGUAACGGCGCACCAAGGCGACGCUCCCUAGCUGGUCUGAGAGGAUGACCAGCCACACUGGAACUGAGACACGGUCCAGAGUCAUACGGGAGGCAGCAGUGGGGAAUAUUGCACAAUGGGCGCAAGCCUGAUGCAGCCAUGCCGCGUGUAUGAAGAAGGCCGUAGGGUUGUAAAGUACUUUCAGCGGGGAGGCGUUACCCACAGAAGAAGCACCGGCUAACUCCGUGCCAGCAGCCGCGGUAAUUC